GCGCACGCUGGCGGCAGGCCUCACCCCUGCAAGUCGAACGAACCUUUCGGGGUUAGUGGCGGACGGGUGAGUAACACGUGGGAACGUGCCUUUAGGUUCGGAAUAACUCAGGGAAACUUGUGCUAAUACCGAAUGUGCCCUUCGGGGGAAAGAUUUAUCGCCUUUAGAGCGGCCCGCGUCUGAUUAGCUAGUUGGUUGAGGUAAUGGCUCACCAAGGCGACGAUCAGUAGCUGGUCUGAGAGGAUGAUCAGCCACAUUGGGACUGAGACACGGCCCAAACUCCUACGGGAGGCAGCAGUGGGGAAUCUUGCGCAAUGGGCGAAAGCCUGACGCAGCCAUGCCGCGUGAAUGAUGAAGGUCUUAGGAUUGUAAAAUUCUUUCACCGGGGACGAUAAUGACGGUACCCGGAGAAGAAGCCCCGGCUAACUUCGUG
rnacentral:rRNA from 1 species